GAAAAGUUACAAAUAUGACUUUCAUUAAAAAUUUAGGUUAAGUCUGUUUAGUACUUUUUAUUGAUUCCGAUGCCUUAUGCAUGUAUUGAUUACGAUAUGGCAUUCAGAAUAAGUCGAUAUCACCAUUGCAUACAUGUAUUCAAAAGUAACAUUUCAAAUAUUGUUUACUCAUUAAUUUAGUUAUUUACCUCUUAAGGUUUUGCUGAAUUGAGUUUGUAAUUGUUUUUUGUCGAGCCUUCAACUUUUGCGAGACAUAGCGAUCCUACAUUCCGUCGGCGUCGGCGUCUUCGUCGUCAUCGGCGGCGUACACACAUAUUCACUCUAUGGUUUUUGAAAUUUUAAAACAUUUCUUAACUUGGCCUUGAUUUGUACCAGACUUGGAACGAAAGCUAGUUUAUGAUUAUACAAUAGUAUCCAGAAGGAAAUGUUAUUAAACGUUUGUACCUGUUUAUCCGUAUUUUACUUUAAAAAGUUUACAUUUAUUGGAUUCAUUAAUUAUCCUGGAUUUUUACCAAACUUGGACAGAAGCUACUCACAAUCUAGAUAGUAUCGAGUGGAUUAUUUUAUUUAUUGUUUUCCUCAUUUUUGUUGAGUUUAUAGCAAUAAACAGCAAAAGUAGGCGAGAUACUGGGUUCCACGGAACCCUUACGAUUUUUGUUCUUUGUAUAAAAACUUACAUCACAUUGCUAACAUCCACUUUAUUUACACGGUGGUGGUUAGGUGUAUCAUUGUCAAUCAUAUCUCAUCUUCCUAUUUUUAUAUCAUAGAGCUAGAUAAACUGUACAAUUUGCAGCACUGACUGUAUCCCAAAACUGAUGAGAAUAUCUAAUGUACUGAACGUUUUCCAUGAAUUGCUGAAACACCCUUCCAAUCUUCAAAUACUGCUGCUUUUUUAAUUUUCAAAAUGAGAACAUAUUACAUUUUUCUAUUGAUUUUUAACUGAAAUAAUAUCUGUUGUUAAAUACGAUUUUAUUUUUUUAUUUUUUAUUUUGAUUUUUGUCGAGCCGGCGACUUUUGUCGCAGAAAUCUCGACAUAGGGAUAGUGAUCUGGCGGCGGCGGCGGCGUUACCUAACUUCUUAUAAGCUUUAUAUUUUAGAAGGUGAAAGACCUGGAUGCUUCAUACUUUAAAUAUAGAUGCCUCAUGUUACGAAGUUUCCGUCAGUCACAUGUCCAAUGUCUUUGACCUCAUUUUCAUGGUUCAGUGACUUCU
rnacentral:lncRNA from 1 species